UACAGAGGUGGCAAGCGUUGUUCGGACUUACUGGGCGUAAAGGGCGCGUAGGCGGCCUUCUAAGUCGAACGUGAAAUCCCCGGGCUCAACCCGGGAACUGCGUCCGAUACUGGAAGGCUUGAAUCCGGGAGAGGGAUGCGGAAUUCCAGGUGUAGCGGUGAAAUGCGUAGAUAUCUGGAGGAACACCGGUGGCGAAGGCGGCAUCCUGGACCGGCAUUGACGCUGAGGCGCGAAAGCCAGGGGAGCAAACGGG
rnacentral:rRNA from 1 species